CAUUACAUAUUUGUUUUGAAUCCCCAAUUACCGCGAGACAAAUUGUGUUUAUUCUGAACAAAGUAUGGAUAAAUUUCUUUACAAUUCUGCAUUUAAGUGUGUAGAUUCAUCUGUAUUGAAUCAUGCUGGAGCCAUUGUUAUAUGUGAAUCAUAUAAACAGUAAAACUACAGAAACGCAUUGGUUAUUGUUGUUGGAGUUGCACGCUAAUUGGACAAUCAAUACGAGCGACGGCUUGGUCUUGCCUCGUAAUAUAAAGACUAUUAAAAAAGAUUCGUUUAAGGUAUGGACAAUUAUUGAUGUCUACAUAGAUACAUUGCAUGUGUAACCGAACCGUCUUAUUAAACGAGUGGUGGUACCCGCAAGGGCGGUUACAUGAACCGACACAGGGCAAAGGCAGGGAGGUUGGGUGUGAAAAACAACCGAGGUGUGUUUAUUUUCAAUACAAUCUAUUCAAAAUUCAAGUCAUUCAAAUGACAUAAAUACUGUAUCAAAGUUAUAUAUAAAUAGGAAACUAUAAAUGUCUUAGUCACACCUAGCUGCUCAAGCAAGCUAUAAUGUUAGCUUUAGACUUCAUAAGUAUGAAAUAAUUUCGUGUCACAAAUUGACAAUCAACAGUACAAUACCUUAUAACAAAACCAAACUCUAAGUAAAUGCUUUCUAACUCUAUAAAAUUGAUCAACAGAGAAAAUUCACAUCUCAGGAGCAAUUAAUACUUUUAAAUUGAAAACCUAUGGUAAAACAAUAAAACAAUGUGAAUGGUCCACAGGGAACCCACGCACUUACUUCACAAUGCUGUUGGAAAUACAAAGGGUGAAGAUAUCGUCAGAAGACAGAUAACUUAAGGAAAAUGAUUUAGUCGGUGUUUAAGUAGACAGAAAAAAUGUGUAAAAAUAGAUGCAAUCAAUAUCUCGCAGUGAAUAUUUAUGAAUAUAAAUUAAUGGAUUUUGUGAAGCUUCACGGCAUGUAUGUAUUAAACGGUAGAACAC